rnacentral:rRNA from 1 species
UAAUACAUGCAAGUAGAACGCUGAAGAGAGGAGCUUGCUCUUCUUGGAUGAGUUGCGAACGGGUGAGUAACGCGUAGGUAACCUGCCUUGUAGCGGGGGAUAACUAUUGGAAACGAUAGCUAAUACCGCAUAACAAUGGAUGACACAUGUCAUUUAUUUGAAAGGGGCAAUUGCUCCACUACAAGAUGGACCUGCGUUGUAUUAGCUAGUAGGUGAGGUAAUGGCUCACCUAGGCGACGAUACAUAGCCGACCUGAGAGGGUGAUCGGCCACACUGGGACUGAGACACGGCCCAGACUCCUACGGGAGGCAGCAGUAGGGAAUCUUCGGCAAUGGGGGCAACCCUGACCGAGCAACGCCGCGUGAGUGAAGAAGGUUUUCGGAUCGUAAAGCUCUGUUGUAAGUCAAGAACGGGUGUGAGAGUGGAAAGUUCACACUGUGACGGUAGCUUACCAGAAAGGGACGGCUAACUACGUGCCAGCAGCCGCGGUAAUACGUAGGUCCCGAGCGUUGUCCGGAUUUAUUGGGCGUAAAGCGAGCGCAGGCGGUUUGAUAAGUCUGAAGUUAAAGGCUGUGGCUCAACCAUAGUUCGCUUGGAAAC